AAUUGUGAUGAAAACAUAAUAAUAAUAAUUGAAAAUAAUCGCUAAUCAUCAUCAUCAUGUUGUCAGUUAUAUUUUUCAAUUAUUUUCUUAAUCAAUAUCAUGCUAAUAGAGAUUAAGAUUAAGAUGUUAUUAAAAUUUUCAAUCUUCAACCUUUGGGUCUUUACCCUUGAUUUCACCUUCUUCUUAGCUGUCAUAUUGGCUCUUACAAGUUGUAAAUCUUUUUCUGGUAUUUUCUGAAGAGCCUCAUUACUUGGUACGAAAACGGUAUAAGGUCCACCUAAUCAACAAAGGAAUUAAGUAGGAAGUAAAUUGGUUUCUAAUUGUUAAUUGUAUUGUGUUUAAUUAACUCACCUCUGGAUAAAGUUGAUCCUAAUCCAGUUCCCAUUGCGAGUGUAACAAAACCAUCAAAUUUAUUACAAGAUUUC